rnacentral:rRNA from 1 species
UACGUAGGUGGCGAGCGUUAUCCGGAAUUACUGGGUGUAAAGGGAGCGCAGGCGGGGCAGCAAGUCAGCUGUGAAAUAUAUGGGCUUAACCCAUAAACUGCAGUUGAAACUGUUGCUCUUGAGUGGAGUAGAGGCAAGCGGAAUUCCGAGUGUAGCGGUGAAAUGCGUAGAUAUUCGGAGGAACACCAGUGGCGAAGGCGGCUUGCUGGGCUCUAACUGACGCUGAGGCUCGAAAGUGUGGGGAGCAAAC